rnacentral:ncRNA from 1 species
GGCCACGUGGUGGGCGGGACUCGCCAGCCCCGGCUUGCUGGCCGGCAACCCUCCUCCGCGGUGGGGUGCCCCGGGUGAGGACCAGGUCGCGCCGACCGGUGCGGCAAGCGCGGGAC